rnacentral:rRNA from 1 species
UACAGAGGUCCCGAGCGUUGUUCGGAUUCACUGGGCGUAAAGGGUGCGUAGGUGGGCAGGUAAGUCAGUGGUGAAAUCUCUGGGCUUAACUCAGAAACUGCCAUUGAUACUAUCUGUCUUGAAUACCGUGGAGGUCAGCGGAAUAUGUCAUGUAGCGGUGAAAUGCUUAGAUAUGACAUAGAACACCAAUUGCGAAGGCAGCUGGCUACACGAAUAUUGACACUGAUGCACGAAAGCGUGGGGAUCAAACAGG